GUAGAAGUGAGGUGGCCUCGUCCAGGUGGCUGUCCUGCCCCCCGGCUAUUGGGAGAGCUGGUCAAGGUUCUUAUAAUUUUUUUAUUCUUAAAGACGGGUGCACACUGUCGCCCAGGCUCAGUGCAGUGGCGUGAUCACAGCUCACUGCAGCCCUGUCCUCCUGACCUCCUGUAAUGAACAGGACCAAUCAGACUCCUGUUGCGCUUCCAUAGAACCUGAACCUCUACUGAGCCACGUUUUGGGGGCUGCAGCACCACUUUCCCCUGAUUUUAGCUGGGAGCCCUGGAGAUACUGUUGGGGGAGGG
rnacentral:lncRNA from 10 species